AUUGAACGCUGGCGGCAGGCCUAACACAUGCAAGUCGAACGAGUGGCGGACGGGUGAGUAAUGUCUGGGAAACUGCCCGAGGGCGGGGGAUAACUACUGGAAAAGGUAGCUAAUACCGCAUACCAUCGGAUGUGCCCAGAUGGGAUUAGCUAGUAGGUGGGGUAACGGCUCACCUAGGCGACGAUCGGUAGCCGGCCUGAGAGGAUGACCGGCGGCACGGGAACGGAGACAGGGACCAUAGUCCUACGGGAGGCAGCAGUGUGGAAUAGGGCGCAACGGGCGGGAGCCUGGUGCAGCGAGGGCGCGUGUAUGAAAGAGGCCUUGGGGGUGUAAAGUACUUUCAGCGGGGAUGCGGUACUUGCAGAAGAAGCACCGGCUAACUCCGUGCCAGCAGCCGCGGUAAUAC
rnacentral:rRNA from 1 species